rnacentral:rRNA from 1 species
GAUGAACGCUAGCUACAGGCUUAACACAUGCAAGUCGAGGGACCGGAGCACGGGUGAGUAACACGUAUCUAACCUGUCCUUUACUUGGGGAUAGCCUUUCGAAAGAAAGAUUAUUACCCGAUAUAAAGGAUGGGGAUGCGUUCGCUUAGGUUGUUUGAGAGGUAACGGUUCACCAAGACUUCGAUGGCUAGGGGUUCUGAGAGGAAGGUCCCCCACAUUGGAACUGAGCCACGGGCCAAACUCCUACGGGAUGCAGCAGUGAGGAAUAUUGGUCAAUGGGCGCUAGCCUGAACCAGCCAAGUAGCGUGAAGGAUGAAGGCUUAUGGGUCGUAAACUUCUUUUAUAUAAGAAUAUGUAUUAUAUGAAUAAGGAUCGGCUAACUCCGUUCCAGCAGCCGCGGUAAUUC